rnacentral:rRNA from 1 species
GCUUAACACAUGCAAGUCGAGCGAGAAUCGUUUAUUGAAGGCUUCGGCUGGAAAUAGAUGAGGAAAGCGGCGAACGGGUGAGUAACGCGUGGGCAACCUGGCCUUAAGAAAAGGAUAGCCCCCGGAAACGGGGAGUAAUACUUUAUGAGAAUAGAAAAGGGCAUCCUAUUUCUAUUCAAAGCGCAAGCGCUUAAGGAUGGGCCCGCGUAUCAUUAGCUAGUUGGUGAGAUAACAGCCCACCAAGGCAACGAUGAUUAGCCGGUCUGAGAGGGCGAACGGCCACAUUGGAACUGAGGGACGGUCCAAACUCCUACGGGAGGCAGCAGGGGGGAAGAUUGCGAAAUGGAGAAGAACUCUGACGCAGCAAUACCGCGUGAGCGAAGAAGGUCUUCGGAUCGUAAAGCUCUGUUAUCAGGGAAGAAGAAAAUGACGGUACCUGAUGAGCAAGUCCCGGCUAACUACGUGCCAGCCGCCGCAGUAAUAC